GCCUGGGUGGCUCAGUCGGUUGAGCGUCUGACUUCGGCUCAGGUCAUGAUCUCGUGGUCUGUGAGUUCGAGCCCCGCACUGGGCU
rnacentral:tRNA from 1 species